rnacentral:rRNA from 1 species
UACGAAGGGGGGCUAGCGUUGCUCGGAAUCACUGGGCGUAAAGCGCACGUAGGCGGCUUGGCAAGUCGGAUGUGAAAUCCCUCGGCUCAACCAAGGAAGUGCAUCCGAAACUGCUGAGCUUGAGUACUUAAGAGGAUCGCGGAAUUCCCGGUGUAGAGGUGAAAUUCGUAGAUAUCGGGAGGAACACCAGUGGCGAAGGCGGCGAUCUGGGAAGAUACUGACGCUGAGGUGCGAAAGCGUGGGGAGCAAACAGG